ACACCCGUGUUUGUAAGUGUUAUGGGCUUGAGGCCGAGCUUAGCCUUGUUCAUUUUUUUACACAAUAGCCAUGUAAAAAAUCAAACACGCCCCACUGAACAGCCCGCCAGCAAAGGCUCUCCGCGGAUCAAAAGCGGCUCGAAACGCCCCAAAAACGGCCCAUCAGGACUGAUGCGCCCCA
rnacentral:sRNA from 1 species